rnacentral:tRNA from 1 species
GCUGAUGUAGCUCAGCAGGUAGAGCACAUCCUUGGUAAGGAUGAGGUCACCAGUUCGAUUCUGGUCAUCAGCUCCA